UCUACGGGAUUUCGCGAGACAAAAUUUACGUGGGCCAUUCGUUUACCCUCCCGGUACAGAAUGUCAAAAGUAAAAGUUUGUAAGUAAGCCCACCACCUGUAAACCCUGUCAUUUAAAUUUACCUUACUACUGGAUGCCUUCAACGGAUUACAAUCGGAGACGACAAGAAAUUCUCGUCCGUGGGGAUAAUGACGGAAAUGCUUGACGGCGUUCACAACUGCUAACGUUUCUAGUUCGUAAGAAUGAUACCUAGAUUCCGCAGGGCUACUUCUUAUACUGUAAUAUUCUAUUACUCUAUUUUUUACCUUUAAUCUUGUGCAUUAAAAUAACCUCAUAUCCAUCCGAACUAGCGUCGAUAUGAAGUUCUAUCGGAUGUAAGCGCAUACAAGGGUUUCAUUACCCGUGAAAAUUUAGGGACGAAUUUUCGGAAAUAAAAGGCUAAACCUAUGAACUGUCUGAGCUGUGUGACCGUCGUUGACGCAGGUAAAGAACUCAAGGCGUGCGUUUUACCCGGAUUGGGACGAACUUCUCCUUCGUAAAUUACAUAUUCCAAAUAGAGUACCGAUGUCUUUAGAAAAGAAUAUUUUGAAAAGUUAAAGGAGAAUCCGGCUUUUACAAGGGUAUCUAGUACGGUGUGCAAUACUUUUAGAGCUUGAUCUAUCGAGUCGGCAAUAAUUAGGGGAUCAUCCAAAUAGACGACAACGUAAGAAUGGCACGUUGGCUGUUAUACGUGUUUUCAAAGGAAUCUCAAGAAUGAUCUCUCGUUUCGUUUGUUCGCAACCUCGAAAUCAGCAGCCGCUGCUGAAUGGAAUGAAGGAAAGUGUAGUACAGAUCACUCAGACCAAAUGAUUUCUUAUGUGACCGCAAUUAAAAAGGGUCAAAUGCUACAGAAGACUUGGCACGCGACUACUCCUGAGGAUUUCUGUACUAAACGCUUUGAUGGUUUACAAAAUUGUAGCAAGGAAGAACAUAAAUAUUAGAAUAUUUAGACAAGUAUGAGCUGCACAAUUAUUAGGGUUGUCCGAAACUAUAAGAAUCCCCAUUUUCGACGGGGUCAGCAUAGUAUCGCCGUCCCGAAAAUGACUUCCGGAAGAAACAUUAAACGCGCACGCACUUAUGUUAUGCAAAUAAAGGACAUCGAAUGGAUCGAACAAAGGCACAAAAGAAUUCGAAGAAAACAACAACU